CAGCCGCCGCGGGAAUACAGAGGAUGCAAGCGUUAUCCGGAAUGAUUGGGCGUAAAGCGUCUGUAGGUGGCUUUUCAAGUCCGCCGUCAAAUCCCAGGGCUCAACCCUGGACAGGCGGUGGAAACUACCAAGCUGGAGUACGGUAGGGGCAGAGGGAAUUUCCAGUGGAGCGGUGAAAUGCGUUGAGAUCGAAAAGAACACCAACAGCGAAAGCACUCUGCUGGGACGACACUGACACUAAGAGACGAAAGCUAGGGGAGCAAAUGGGAUUAGAUACCCCCGUAGUCCCUGUCUCUUUUAC
rnacentral:rRNA from 1 species